rnacentral:rRNA from 1 species
GAUGAACGCUGGCGGCGUGCCUAAUACAUGCAAGUCGAGCGAACAGACGAGGAGCUUGCUCCUCUGACGUUAGCGGCGGACGGGUGAGUAACACGUGGAUAACCUACCUAUAAGACUGGGAUAACUUCGGGAAACCGGAGCUACUACCGGCUAAUAUAUUGUACCGCAUGGUUCAAUAGUGAAAGACGGUUUUGCUGUCACUUAUAGAUGGAUCCGCGCCGCAUUAGCUAGUUGGUAAGGUAACGGCUUACCAAGGCAACGAUGCGUAGCUGACCUGAGAGGGUGAUCGGCCACACUGGAACUGAGACACGGUCCAGACUCCUACGGGAGGCAGCAGUAGGGAAUCUUCCGCAAUGGGCGAAAGCUUGACGGAGCAACGCCGCGUGAGUGAUGAAGGUCUUCGGAUCGUAAAACUCUGUUAUUAGGGAAGAACAAAUGUGUAAGUAACUAUGCACGUCUUGACGGUACCUAAACAGAAAGCCACGGCUAACUACGUG